rnacentral:lncRNA from 1 species
GUUGUAGGGAGGUCAUACAGGCACGUGGAGGCCACACACACUACUGAGCCUCAUUUUGACUUGUUUUAAGGACAUUACAUCAAAGUUGGAUCAGCCUGUAGUGUGGUUUUCCACUUUAAUUUUGAGUGUGACUCCAAAUCCAGACCUCCAUGGGUUGAUAAAUUGGAUUUCCAUUGAUUAUUUUUGUGUGAUUUUGUUGUCAGCACAUUCAACUAUGUAAAGAAAAAAAGUAUUUAAUAAGAUUUUUUCAUCAAUUCAGAUCUAGGAUGUGUUAUUUUAGUGUUCCCUUUAUUUUUUUUGAGCAGUAUAUAUAUAUAUCAAAUCAAAUGUAUUUAUAUAGCCCUUCUUACAUCAGCUGAUAUCUCAAAGUGCUGUACAGAAACCCAGCCUAAAACCCCAAACAGCAAGCAAUGCAGGUGUAGAAGCAUGGUGGCUAGGAAAAACUCCCUAGAAAGGCCAAGAAAGGCUUUAUUACUGCCACUUUGAGUGAGUUUGGUACACAUCCGGUGGAUAGAGAGCUGUUUAUUAUGUUCAACAUAGGAGGGCCAAGCACAGGAAGCAGCUCUUUCAGUAGUUUAGUUGGAAUAGGGUCCAGUAUGCAGCUUGAAGGUUUAGAGGCCAUGAUUAUUUUCAUCAUUAUACACAGCUAUAACCUCAAGCAGACACAGAUCUACUGCUCUGAUAAGUAUCUAUGUGUGGGGUGGAGACAGCCUCUAUUUUUACUAAUGCUUUCAGUUGUAAGGACAUUUGGCUUGAUGAUUUUGGGUAUUUUGAGCAUCAUGUUAUACUGUAUAAAUGUCAGCCACCAGACCAGAGCAUCAUGUUAUACUGUUUAAAUGUCAGCCACCAGACCAGAGCAUCAUGUUAUAAUGUUUAAAUGUCAGCCACCAGAGCAUCAUGUUAUACUGUUUAAAUGUCAGCCACCAGACCAGAGCAUCAUGUUAUACUGUUUAAAUGUCAGCCACCAAACCACUGCCCCACUUUCUUUACUGAUUUCUCUGAACAAUUGUCUGUUGUCCUUGAGUACUAUGAUAUAAUCAUUGUGUUGGGUGAUUUUAAUAUUCAUGUUGACAAAGAGACUGACUCCAAAGCCAUUGAAAUUCUGAAUCAUUUUAGAUCUAUGGACAUUAUCCAACAUGUUGCUGGGCCCACCCAUAACCACAGCCAUACUCUGGAC